rnacentral:rRNA from 1 species
UCGUGAGGCGGAGCUAAUCCCUUAAAGCCAUUCUCAGUUCGGAUUGUAGGCUGAAACUCGCCUACAUGAAGCUGGAGUUACUAGUAAUCGCAGAUCAGAAUGCUGCGGUGAAUGCGUUCCCGGGUCUUGUACACACCGCCCGUCACACCACGGAAGUUGGGGGCGCCCGAAGCCACUUAGCUAACCCUUUUGGGAAGCGAGUGUCGAAGGUGAAAUCAAUAACUGGGGUGAAGUCGUAACAAGGUAAC